rnacentral:rRNA from 1 species
GACGAACGCUGGCGGCGUGCUUAACACAUGCAAGUCGAACGGAAAGGCCCCCUUGUGGGGUACUCGAGUGGCGAACGGGUGAGUAACACGUGAGUAACCUACCCUUGACUUUGGGAUAACUUCAGGAAACUGGGGCUAAUACCGGAUAGGAGCUCCUGCUGCAUGGUGGGGGUUGGAAAGUUUCGGCGGUUGGGGAUGGACUCGCGGCUUAUCAGCUUGUUGGUGGGGUAGUGGCUCACCAAGGCUUUGACGGGUAGCCGGCCUGAGAGGGCGACCGGCCACAUUGGGACUGAGAUACGGCCCAGACUCCUACGGGAGGCAGCAGUGGGGAAUAUUGCACAAUGGGCGGAAGCCUGAUGCAGCAACGCCGCGUGCGGGAUGACGGCCUUCGGGUUGUAAACCGCUUUCGCCUGUGACGAAGCGUGAGUGACGGUAGUGGGUAAAGAAGCACCGGCUAACUACGUG